rnacentral:lncRNA from 1 species
AUGUACAUGUUGAAUAAACACCCUAGAAUAGUUAAUGUCAUGGAUGCCUACCUUUGGCAUUGUAAGCUAGGUCAUAUUAACAAGAAUAGAAUGAAUAGGUUAGCUCAAGAGAAAAUUCUGGAUGACAAUGAUUAUAAAUCAUUGUCUAUCUAUAAGUCUUGUUUACUUGAAAUGAUGACCAAGUCAUCUUUUACUGAAAAAGAUG